UACGAAGGGGCUAGCGUUGUUCGGAUUUACUGGGCGUAAAGCGCACGUAGGCGGAUCGUUAAGUCGGGGGUGAAAUCCUGGAGCUCAACUCCAGAACUGCCUUCGAUACUGGCGAUCUAGAGUCCGGAAGAGGUGAGUGGAACUCCUAGUGUAGAGGUGGAAUUCGUAGAUAUUAGGAAGAACACCAGUGGCGAAGGCGGACUCGUCUGGGCCUUACCGUGACGCUGAGGAGCGAAAGUGUGGGGAGCGAACAGG
rnacentral:rRNA from 1 species